UCGGAGAAUCGGUUUUUCAAA
ensembl:piRNA 21ur-2202 ncRNA